AUGAGCCCACGUGUUCGGGCUGUGCAAGUUGAUACCAGGAUCCAGUCUCAGCCCCCAGCAGGAAACCAACAGGCAGAAGCUUCGGAGGUUGUUUUGACCCAGUCAGAGGCAGAGACUGGCCGUCUCGAAGGCAGCCUGAAACUGAAUUGUAAAACCAGCGGGUUCGAUCUUAGCAGCUGCUGCAUGUACUGGGUCCGACAGGUUCCCGGACAGGGUCUGGAGUGGCUGCUUUGGUACUAUGGUUCAUCCAGCAGUAACUAUGCACCAGCGACUAAGGGUCGAUUUACUGCGUCCAAAGACACUUCAAACAACAUUUUCGCGUUGGACAUGGAGAACCUGAAGAUCGAAGACACCGCCAUCUAUUACUGUGCAAGAUACCACAGCGAGAGGAACCAGGGCUGGACCCAUUCAAAAACAGCUCUAGGGAACAUUUUGUCAAUUCUAUCAUAA